rnacentral:rRNA from 1 species
AGUGAACGCUGGCGGUAGGCCUAACACAUGCAAGUCGAACGGCAGCACAGUAAGAGCUUGCUCUUACGGGUGGCGAGUGGCGGACGGGUGAGGAAUACAUCGGAAUCUACUUUUUCGUGGGGGAUAACGUAGGGAAACUUACGCUAAUACCGCAUACGACCUACGGGUGAAAGCAGGGGAUCUUCGGACCUUGCGCGAUUGAAUGAGCCGAUGUCGGAUUAGCUAGUUGGCGGGGUAAAGGCCCACCAAGGCGACGAUCCGUAGCUGGUCUGAGAGGAUGAUCAGCCACACUGGUACUGAGACACGGUCCAGACUCCUACGGGAGGCAGCAGUGGGGAAUAUUGGACAAUGGACGCAAGCCUGAUCCAGCCAUACCGCGUGGGUGAAGAAGGCCUUCGAGUUGUAAAGCCCUUUUGUUGGGAAAGAAAAGCAGCAGGUUAAUACCCCGCUGUUCUGACGGUACCCAAAGAAUAAGCACCGGCUAACUUCGUG